rnacentral:rRNA from 1 species
UACGUACUGUGCGACCGUUAUUCGGAAUCACUGGGCUUAAAGGGUGCGUAGGCGGCCAAUUAAGUAGGGUGUGAAAUACCUCGGCUCAACCGAGGCAUUGCGCUCUAAACUGGUUGGCUUGAGUGAGAUAGGGGUGUGCGGAACUUCCAGUGGAGCGGUGAAAUGUGUUGAUAUUGGAAGGAACGCCGGUGGCGAAAGCGGCACACUGGGUCUUAACUGACGCUGAGGCACGAAAGCCAGGGGAGCGAACGGG